UGCAGUCGAGCGGUAGAGAGAAGCUUGCUUCUCUUGAGAGCGGCGGACGGGUGAGUAAUGCCUAGGAAUCUGCCUGGUAGUGGGGGAUAACGUUCGGAAACGGACGCUAAUACCGCAUACGUCCUACGGGAGAAAGCAGGGGACCUUCGGGCCUUGCGCUAUCAGAUGAGCCUAGGUCGGAUUAGCUAGUUGGUGAGGUAAUGGCUCACCAAGGCGACGAUCCGUAACUGGUCUGAGAGGAUGAUCAGUCACACUGGAACUGAGACACGGUCCAGACUCCUACRGGAGGCAGCAGUGGGGAAUAUUGGACAAUGGGCGAAAGCCUGAUCCASCCAUGCCGCGUGUGUGAAGAAGGUCUUCGGAUUGUAAAGCWCUUUARGUUGGGAGGAAGGGUUGWAGAUUAAUACUCUGCWAUUUUGACGUUACCGACAGAAUAAGCACCGGCUAACUCUGUGCCAGCAGCCGCGGUAAUACAGAGGGUGCAAGCGUUAAUCGGAAUUACUGGGCGUAAAGCGCGCGUAGGUGGUUUGUUAAGUUGGAUGUGAAAUCCCCGGGCUCAACCUGGGAACUGCAUUCAAAACUGACUGACUAGAGUAUGGUAGAGGGUGGUGGAAUUUCCUGUGUAGCGGUGAAAUGCGUAGAUAUAGGAAGGAACACCAGUGGCGAAGGCGACCACCUGGACUAAUACUGACACUGAGGUGCGAAAGCGUGGGGAGCAAACAGGAUUAGAUACCCUGGUASUCCACGCCGUAAACGAUGUCAACUAGCCGUUGGAAGCCUUGAGCUUUUAGUGGCGCAGCUAACGCAUUAAGUUGACCGCCUGGGGAGUACGGCCGCAAGGUUAAAACUCAAAUGAAUUGACGGGGGCCCGCAMAGCGGUGGAGCAUGUGGUUUAAUUCGAA
rnacentral:rRNA from 1 species